GACGAACGCUGGCGGCGUGCUUAACACAUGCAAGUCGAACGGAAAGGCCCUGCUUUUGUGGGGUGCUCGAUUGGCGAACGGGUGAGUAACACGUGAGUAACCUGCCCUUGACUUUGUGAUAACUUCAGGAAACUGGGGCUCAUACCGGAUAGGAGCUCCUGCUGCAUGGUGGUGGUUGGAAAGUUUCGGCGGUUGGGGAUGGACUCGCGGCUUAUCAGCUUGUUGGUGGGGUAGUUGCUUACCAAGGCUUUGACGGGUAGCCGGCCUGAGAGGGUGACCGGCCACAUUGGGACUGAGAUACGGCCCAGACUCCUACGGGAGGAAGCAGUGGGGAAUAUUGCACAAUGGGCGGAAGCCUGAUGCAGCAACGCCGCGUGCGGGAUGACGGCCUUCGGGUUGUAAACCGCUUUCGCCUGUGACGAAGCGUGAGUGACGGUAAUGGGUAAAGAAGCACCGGCUAACUACGUG
rnacentral:rRNA from 1 species